rnacentral:rRNA from 1 species
CUUCUAGAGCUAAUACAUGCAGGUUAGCCCGACUUUAAGGAAGGGCUGUAUUUAUUAGAUAACAGAUCAAUAUUCCUCGUGUCUAUUGUGGUGACUCAUAGUAACUGAUCGGAUCGCAUGGCUUUAUGCCGCGAUAAACCAUUCAAGUUUCUGACCCAUCAGCUUUCGAUGGUAGUGUAUUGGACUACCAUGGCUUUCACGGGUAACGGAGGAUUAGGGUUCGAUUCCGGAGAGGGAGCCUGAGAAACGGCUACCACAUCUAAGGAAGGCAGCAGGCGCGUAAAUUACCCAAUCCUGACUCAGGGAGGUAGUG